rnacentral:lncRNA from 1 species
UGGUUCACCGUUUUCUCAUUUUAAUACCUUUUAAACUGUAUCACUUUAUUACCUUGUGAUUUCAUUUUUCUCUUUUCGUUAUCCACUAUAUUAAUUUUUUUUGUUAAAUUAAUUAGAAAGUUAAAACUAUAGAAUAUUAAAGUAAAAAUUUUGUAAACCACAUGAUAUUAAAAUGAAUAUUCGAUAAACCAUAUGAAGUAUUUAAAGUUUUUUUUUCUAUAUAUUUUAACGGAGAUAUAGUUAACAGAGAAAAUACUGAAAAGAGAAAAAUAAAAUAAUAGAGUACUAAGGUAAUCCACUUUAAACCUCCGGGUACUAAAAUGAGAAAGCGUUAAAGCACAUGUGGGAUAUUUG